rnacentral:ncRNA from 1 species
UGCUGUUACAUCAGCAGUUGACUGGACAUCUAGGGGCAAAGCACUGUUUCAGUGCGGGCCGUGAGAGCGGUACCGAAUCGAGGCAAAAUCUAAUACUAGAUACGACCUCAAAAUAAGGUCAAGAUCGACCAGUGAGACGAUGGGGGAUAAGCUUCAUCGUCGAGAGGGAAACAGCCUGGACACCAGCUAAGGCCCCUAAAUGACAACUCAGUGGUAGACACCAGCUAAGUCCCCUAAAUGACAACUCAGUGGUAAAGGAGGUUGGGGUGCAAAGAUAGCCACGGAGAUUUGCCUAGAAGCAACCACCCUUGAAGAGUGCGUAAUGGCUCACUGAUUGAGCGCUCUUGCGCCGAAGAUAAACGGGGCUAAGCGAUCUGACGAACCGGAAGUGAGAAUGUCAGCUUGAGAAGCCCAAGUGUUUCAAGCGAGUCCAGUACAUCACUUUGUA